UACGAAGGGGGCUAGCGUUGCUCGGAAUUACUGGGCGUAAAGCGCACGUAGGCGGCUUUCUAAGUCGGGGGUGAAAUCCUGGAGCUCAACUCCAGAACUGCCUUCGAUACUGGAAAGCUCGAGUCCGGGAGAGGUGAGUGGAACUGCGAGUGUAGAGGUGAAAUUCGUAGAUAUUCGGAAGAACACCAGUGGCGAAGGCGACUUACUGGACGACUGUUGACGCUGAGGUGCGAAAGCGUGGGGAGCAAACAGG
rnacentral:rRNA from 1 species